GUGUGAGCAAGUGUCGUGUUGCUUUCUGUGGUAGUUUUUUACAUUCUUAGAAAAACGAUACUUUAUUAUGGAUUAUUUCACGUCAACUAUAGUGUUUACAGAGUGACAUAAGCAUACCUAUCAAUAAGUGUAAUAUUCUCCUUUAAACGUUAGAGAAGGAGAUUUAAUGCCUGAAAAACAACAGGUGUUAAUGUAAGGUCUUAAUUAAUAGUGAUAUGGAUGUUCCCGGUGGCACAGCUCAAUCUACCUCUAGUGUCUGUGAAUGAACCCUCGUGGAUCUUUUCUCUCACAAUGUUAAUAAGACGUGAAUGGAGAAAAGGUUCGGGUGCCCGAAAAAACUCUUCCUUCACACUGUUAUCAGCCGCAACCACAUGCAUAAAUACACUCACGACAUCGGUCCACUCAUCAAAUUGUAAACUGAGCCAGCAGAACAGCCAGUGAUAUGACCGGUGGUACAGCCAGCAGAACAGCCAGUGGUACGACUGGUGGUACAGCCAGCAGAACAGCCAGUGGUACGACCGGUGGUACAGCCAGCAGAACAGCCAGUGGUACGACCGGUGGUACAGCCAGCAGAACAGCCAGUGGUACGACCGGUGGUACAGCCAGUGUUAUAAACACCAUGACAAUUUCUAAAAUACUACUCGUACUAGCCGUAGUAUAUCAGCUUCCAACCGAAACGGAGGAUACUCAACAGCACAACGACCAGUAUAGACAGAUAUCUUCCUGCAACACCCUCGUUGAUAAACAAAUGCGUGACAAAAGUUGGAAGCAGUUAGACAUACCGGACAGCAAAUGCACACGUCCUCUACUGAAUGAUAUCAAAGAUUUUAAGACUUGCGGCGGAAACAAACCAAAACCUCUUUUUCAAGAACUGUGUUUUAUACGAAAAGUACAUGAAGAGAAGACCCAUACACUGGUGCUGUUAAUGGACAAAAAUUGCUCAGAGUCAGUGCUUAAUUAUUCCCCUCACCCAGAUGACAGGUACAAAUGCUUUUCCUACUAUGCCCCAACUAUACCCAAUACUAUUCCAGGUCCCACUAAUAAACUCAGCAACACGGUACCAGUACUGCCUAAGGUUUACCUGGUGAUAGUAACAGGAAUAUUGGUAGUUACUGUUUACUAGGUUUUAUUUACUUGGCCAGAGUGAACGAACACAGCCAUAUUUUGUGUUGAAUAUGGAAAUGUCUUCACGUUAACUGAAUCUAUAUGCAUGUGGGUGUGUGCGUUGGGGAGUGAAUCACUUGAUUGACAAAAGUUUCCAGUACAAAAAUAUAAGAAAUUUAGAGACAACAUAUUGAUUAACUAUAGAUCUGGUACUGUGGGAGCUGGUCUUGUAAACAGUCUUGUGAUCUGAUAUCAGCGUCAACAAAGUCCUUCCCUUUUUUGGAUGACCGUCAUACCUAGGUGCUAAGGGACUGCUCCCUCACUACAGCUGCAGAUGUUUAGCACAUCCCCCACAUGGUCCGGGUAGGUCCUUAAGCUCACACAAGGCGUUGGAGAGGGUUCUUGUGGAAACAGGCAAAUGUAGUACCCAAAUUCAAAAAGGGAGACAGAGCAUCAGCGUCAAAUUACCGGCCGA